UACGAAGGGGGCUAGCGUUGCUCGGAAUCACUGGGCGUAAAGGGUGCGUAGGCGGGUCUUUAAGUCAGGGGUGAAAUCCUGGAGCUCAACUCCAGAACUGCCUUUGAUACUGAAGAUCUUGAGUUCGGGAGAGGUGAGUGGAACUGCGAGUGUAGAGGUGAAAUUCGUAGAUAUUCGCAAGAACACCAGUGGCGAAGGCGGUGUUCUGGGCCUGUACUGACGCUGAGGCGCGAAAGCGUGGGGAGCGAACAGG
rnacentral:rRNA from 1 species